UGUUCUGUGGCUUAGUUGAUUAAAGCGCCGGACUUCCGAAUACGAAGCCGUGGGUUUGAAUCCCACCAGAACGC
rnacentral:tRNA from 1 species